GGGCCCGCACAAGCGGAGGAACAUGUGGUUUAAUUCGAUGAUACGCGAGGAACCUUACCCGGGCUUAAAUUGCAGAGGACAGCUCAAGAGAUUGAGUCUUCUUCGGACCUCUGUGAAGGUGCUGCAUGGUUGUCGUCAGCUCGUGCCGUGAGGUGUCGGCUUAAGUGCCAUAACGAGCGCAACCCUUGCCGUUAGUUACUAACAGGUGAUGCUGAGGACUCUAGCGGGACUGCCAUCGUAAGAUGUGAGGAAGGUGGGGAUGACGUCAAAUCAGCACGGCCCUUACGUCCGGGGCUACACACGUGUUACAAUGGGAGGUACAGAAGGCCGCUACCCGGCGACGGGGCGCCAAUCCCCAAAACCUCUCUCAGUUCGGAUUGGAGUCUGCAACCCGACUCCAUGAAGCUGGAUUCGCUAGUAAUCGCGCAUCAGCCACGGCGCGGUGAAUACGUUCCCGGGCCUU
rnacentral:rRNA from 1 species